UACAGAGGUCCCGAGCGUUGUUCGGAUUCACUGGGCGUAAAGGGUGCGUAGGUGGUGAGGCAAGUCGGAUGUGAAAGCUCGGAGCUCAACUCCGAAAUGGCAUUGGAAACUACCUUGCUAGAGGGGUGGAGGGGGGACUGGAAUGCUUGGUGUAGCAGUGAAAUGCGUAGAUAUCAAGCGGAACACCAGUGGCGAAGGCGAGUCCCUGGACAACUCCUGACACUGAGGCACGAAAGCUAGGGGAGCAAACAGG
rnacentral:rRNA from 1 species